GUGGGGCUGCAGGCCUUCGUAGCCAGGCAGGGACAGUGCCCUGGGCAGCCAGGAAAGAGCUGCAGAAAAUGGAUAGGGCUGGUGGAACCAGGGAGCUGGGACCCCUCCCGCAACACCGUAUUUCCCAGUCUAAGCCUUGUGACAUCUUUCUUCCCUCUCCCUACUGUCUACCAGAGCUUGCCCCCUCCCAGUGCCCAGGAGCACAGGUUCCCAUGCCAGCUCGUCUGCAUAAAGGGAUUGUGUUUAUAGUCAAAGUGGGCUGCUGCCCACUCAGAAGCUGCCCACUCGAAGGCAGCACAUGUGACUGCACCCCCUGCCCAGAGCCCAAGUGGGACCGAUGCCAAUGUCUGGCUGGAGACAUUUCUAAAUAUGAGCUUGGCACAAAGAGUCAGGUUCCCAGGCCUUCUCUGCCACAGGAGACCCAGCCAGGAUUUUCGAGGCUGCCAGGAGGGACAGGGCUGGGGCAGGCAGGAUCGGGAGGCAGCCAGCUGAGACAGCCAUCGUCCCUGGAAACAUCACCCGAACCCCUCCCCGGCCCUCCAGCCUUGUUAGGGGAAGAGAAAGGAUAAGCCUGCACCUAGAGAGUCUAAUCAAUUCCCCACAACCCUUGGCAGGAGGGACGGGAAAGCCACUGCCUGCUCAAAUGUGUAUGGAUUAAAAAUAUACAAAUGGAAUAUUUUUUUUCUUCCCCUCUCCUCAACCCCCUGAAGCCUAGGAUGCUUGUUAAAAAUAGCCUUGCUGUGGCAUGGAUCCUACACAACCCAACGGCUGGCAGGCAAAUGAAGGAGCCAUUGGAGACAGCACUGUUAAGUGGCUACCCCUGGGGAGUGGAAUGGGGAGGGCCGGGAGGGAGGGAGGUGCUUUCAAGUGUUUCCGGACACACUUCUACACUGCCUGGAUUUUUAACAGCAAGCAGAUAUAAAAUAAGUUGAUUGUUUUUUACUGGAGUUUCAUCCUUUGCAUCCUCCAGCCUACGCUUAAGGCUGAAUUCAUACUGACUGAGUGACCCGACAGUACUUGCUGGCUGGCCUGGCAGUGCUCCAAGGAGACCCAGGACGCUCAGGCCACCGGGUACAAACACAGCCCAGCAUCGAGCAAACAGCAUUGAAUCAGUCAGUCUUGGAUCUGUAACCAGCUGGCUGUGUGACCUUAGCCCACACUCUGGAGGCCACAUUGCUGGCUGGUUAAGAAGUGUGGACUCUGAAAUCAGGAGAGUUUGCUUGCAGACUGGUCUCUGGAUAGGUGGAGUGUUACUGGUUGGCUGCUUCCUUCUGUCUCAGUGGCUGGUUUCCCCCGUGCGGGGCUAACAGAUCAUCAGAGGAGCUGACCAAGCAUGGAGGCCAGAUGCGAAAGUGAGAUCAGAUUUAGAAUUUCAUUCCAACUCUACAUCCCUAGCAUCAUCCUUUUCUUUUUUCCUUUUUUUUUU